UACGUAGGUGACAAGCGUUGUCCGGAUUUACUGGGCGUAAAGAGCGCGCAGGCGGUCGAUCAAGUCGAGUGUGAAAGCCCCCGGCUCAACUGGGGAGGGUCACGCGAUACUGAUCGACUCGAAGGCAGGAGAGGGUAGUGGAAUUCCGGGUGUAGCGGUGAAAUGCGUAGAUAUCCGGAGGAACACCGGUGGCGAAGGCGGCAUCCUGGACCGGCAUUGACGCUGAGGGCGCGAAAAGCGUGGGGGAGCAA
rnacentral:rRNA from 1 species